UACAGAGGUCUCAAGCGUUGUUCGGAUUCAUUGGGCGUAAAGGGUGCGUAGGUGGCGCUGUAAGUCGGGUGUGAAAUUUCGGAGCUUAACUCCGAAACUGCAUUCGAUACUGCGGUGCUUGAGGACUGGAGAGGAGACUGGAAUUCAUGGUGUAGCAGUGAAAUGCGUAGAGAUCAUGAGGAAGACCAGUGGCGAAGGCGGGUCUCUGGGCCAUAACUGACGCUGAGAAGCGAAAGCAUGGGGAGCGAACAGG
rnacentral:rRNA from 1 species